UUGCUCGCUUUGGCAGCACAUAUACUAAAAUUGGAAUGAUACAGAGAUGAGCAUGGUCCCUAUGCAAGGAUGACACGCAAAUUCACGAAGCAUUCCAUAUUAAA